UUGGCUUUCCAGCCCCAAACCAGGGUCAAAAGCCAGGAAGAGGUCAUGGAAAGUCUCAGUUCCUGGCAGCUUGUUCCACGGUGGCUGGGAGGGUAAGCUUGGCCAGCAGCUGGGCCCGAGUCCCCUGGACCUCAGUGUGGAAUAUUGACCUCAGAGAUCCAGACCUGCAAUGAACGAGAAGGAAAUGGGGCUCCCUGGUAGACGAGUGCCCUUCAUAUAGUCCAUAAUGAGGACUUAGUGCGUUACGUAGAUUUGAACAUCUUUUGUCUUCAGUAAUCAGGUGAAUAUGGCUGUGUGCUAUUUUGAACCACCACCACUGGGGAUUUACCAAGCUUAUAGUUAUUGUGCAGAUCUUUGCAAAAAUAUGAGCAACUGAAAUAAUCUACAGAGCAAAUGUCAGAUGGUGAAUCAAUGAACGAACUGCAGCAAACAAUGGUGGGAGACAGCGGACACAGCCGUGAGCUCUCAGGGGUGGAGACGUACCGUGGGAUUGAACACACUGGGUAUUUGGAGGCUUUUAGGAGUCAGGGCAAGACACCGGCGCUACAGGGGUAGAAAGAUAACACGAUGGGCACGGAUGUGCCUGUGAAGCCAAAAUAAAGUCGACGCAGCGAUAUUGC